rnacentral:lncRNA from 1 species
CGCGCGCAUUGACUUUUUCGUAGAUCUUAUUGAGAUACACGUGAUUGUCAAAUUUUGUGUCAAUAUGACAAAGCGUACAGGUAUGACAGUCAACAAUGUGUAUUUUCACCUUAUGGGACAAGAAAAAAUGGACUUUUUUCUCCUGCCAUGGGGGGGCGUUCUUUUGGGGAGUAAAAAUUCCUUCACAAUUGUGUUGAUGGCUGGACAUUGCAUCAUCCUAGAAAACUUGAAGGCCAGUGAGGACAAAAAUAAAAAGUUAUAAGACUUUAUAAAUAUGUGGAUUUUAGGGUUAUCUUUGGCGCCCCCUAGAACCUUAACCGUGGGGUGCAGCGUCAUGAUUUUAAUAACUUUUAAUGGCCACGGGGUGUAGAUUGGCCAGAGCAAAUGUGGUGCUAGUGGAACAAAAGCCUUAGGAGGAGUUAGCCACAUUCCAAUGUGUGCGGAUCGGCAAAAAAUGCAGAAUAACCCUUUAACCGUACAUUUUACAGAUACGUGGCCAUUGACUUUUUCGAAGAUCUUAUUGAAAUACACGUGUAUGUCAAAUUUUGUGUCAUUUUGACAAAGCGUACAGGCGUGACACUCUACAAUGUGUAUUUUCACCUUAGGGGACAAGAAAAAAUGGACUUUUUUCUCCUGCCAUGGGGGGGCGCUCUUUUGGGGAGUAAAAAUGCCUUCACAAAUGUGUUGAUGGCUGGACAUUGCAUUAUCCUAGAAAACUUGGAGGCCAGUGAGGGCAAAAAUAAAAAGUUAUAAGACUUUUAAAUAUGUGGAUUUUAGGGUUAUCUUUGGCGCCCCCUAGAACCUAAACCGUGGGGUGCAGCGUCAUGAUUUGAAUAACUUUUAAUGGCCAUGGGGUGUAGAUUGGCCUGAGCAAAUGUGGUGCCGGUGGAACGAAAGCCUUCGGAGGAGUUAGCGAAAUUCCAAUGUGUGCGGAUCGGCAAAAAAUGCGCAAUAACCCUUUAACCGUACAUUUGACAGAUACGCCCGCACUGACUUUUUUGUAGAUCUUAUUGAGAUACAUAUGUGUGUCAAUUUUUGUGUCAAUAUGACAAAGCGUACAGGCGUGACAGUCAAUAGUGUGAAUUUCCACCUUAGGGGGCGCUAUGGAGCCAUUUUGCAUUUUAUUGUUUGGGCGACUUCAGAAUAUCGAAUUUUUCACCAGGCCCGGUCGUCCUGCCAAAUUUCAUGAGUUUUCGCCAGUGGGAAGUGGGCCAUUUUCCAGUUCAAAGGGGAGGAAAAAGAAGAAAGAAAGAAACAAAGAAAAACCACUUGGGGAAUAAUAGGGCUCUCGCAGCUGCUUAGCAGCUACGCUCGGGCCCUAAAGAAGGAAACAUGCAGGAACAAGAGGGCUCUCGCAGCUGCUUAGCAGCUACGCUCGGGCCCUAACUAGGGCCCCGUUGGGGCACUGGCGGGCCAGAGCCGCGUCGCGCCGCCCCCAGCGCGACCGCCUCCCCGUCCCAUUCGUGCCCUCUGGCCAUCGCCCUCUCUGGUGACGCCCAUCACUGCAAAGACCCUUUUCCUUCAUCGGUGUUUGCUGUUCUUCCUGCCAUUGCGUGUUGCUUUCACUUACACUUGCCACAGCCAGCCUCGUGAGUGCCUGGCCUGGUUUGACCUUUGCUCACCAUGAUUGUGUGACCUUGGUAUCAGCUACUUGGGAAGUUCAACCGUUGUGGCAAAGCUUUGUUUGCGGCCGGAUGUAGCUGCAAGACGGAGCCUCGUUGACAUUCCGUUUCAACUUAUCUCCAAAGUGAGGACCUUAAACUAUAUACCAGUUUUUAAAUUGUGUUGAUAGGCCAAAUAAAACCAGAGUUAUGAUAAAUUAUGUCUGCGAUACUUUUUUUCUGCUUAUUUUGAUCACGUUCGGCGCUCGAUCGCGCUGUAUGAGACAGGAAAACAUAGCAUGCAGACAUUAGCGACAGCUCUUACAGGCGGAAAAGGCUUGCCAAAAGAAAAAAAAAAACACACCACAACAUCUCCUAUUGGUGUAAAACUUCACCACAACAACCAAUCCAAAAUUAUAUGGUGACUGAUUGACAAGGGGCGGGCGCUUACGUUCUUCCUGCAACAUGAGAAGGGAUGGAGGGACUCUCAGCAGGGAUGCAGUCUGGGACACGUAGUUGCAAACCUAGCGACUUUGUUGUUAGAUUAAAUGACUUUUCAGACCCCCUAACGACUUUUUUUUGAAAGAAAGGGACUUUUAUCGACUUCUUCUGGAGUUCUGGAGUUUAGAGACUCUGACAUGAAGCAGGCUUUCCUUACUGAGGAGUUAGCAACGCUGCUAAGGGUGCAGAGCCACACAUGCGCUCUGAGCUCUGCAGGUGAGACUGAAGCUGACAGAGCUGCAGCAGUUAGCAGGUUUCACCCUCAGAGACCACCAGGGGUUCAUGUUGAGGCAUUUUCAGUUUGUUUUAUUGUUUUUGUGCCAUAGACACUGUCAGCACAAUCUGCAGUUACACUAACAAAAAUGCUGGACAAAACAAAGAAUUAUGGAAAAAUUACACAUGGACUAACAUAGAGGAGGAUCUACACAAGUUUUUUACAUCAUGUUUUACAUCAUGCAUCAUUUACAUCAUGUUUUUUUUGUAGUGGCAUGAAUAAAAAGUGACAUUUGUGAGACUAUACAGUGUUUUGUAAAUAAUUUUACAAAGAACGCCUGGGCCAUUGCCUGCAUUUUGAUGUAAAUAGAGGUAAAUUACUAUGUUCUUUGUUAAAAAUUUGCAUAUGUUUUGAAGUUUAAAAUUUUUAUUUGAUGUUUAAGUUUUAAAAACAGUUCAUCACACAUAUUUGUGGUUUUCAGAGUAAAAAUGUUACUUUUUUCCACUCGGAUAUUAUGUUUUGUGUGUGAAUUUGGGUCCAUUGUGUAAAAACAGUAUGUGAAAAUGAUAAAAUAACUGUAAAGUCACACAGGUGAGGUUGUGCUGAAAAAAAUGAUACCAGGCAAGGCAAGGUAAAAAAAUUUUAAGAGGAAAUAUAAAGGGUAAAAUCUAAAGUAGUCAAAAACGGCCAAUAGUGACUCCCAGUCUCCAUAGACAAGUCCCUUUGGCGCCACUCAGUGGGCAAAACUACUUUGUCUGCUGUAAUGUAUAUUUGGGUCAUCUUUGGCGCCCCCUAGAACGUAAACCGUGGGGUGCAGCGUCAUGAUUUUUACAACUUUGAAUGGCCAUGGGGUGUAGAUUGGCCUGAGCAAAUUUGGUGUCAGUGGGACGAAAGCCUUAGGAGGAGUUAGCCACAUUCCAAUGUGUGCGAAUCGGCAAAAAAUGCAAAAUAGCCCUUUUACCGUACAUUAUACACAUACGCGCUCUUUGACUUUUUCAUAGAUGUUAUUGAGAUACACGUGAUUGUCAAAUUUUGUGUCAAUCUGACAAAGCGUUCAGGCAUGACACUCAACAAUGUGUGUUUUCACCUUAGGGGACAAGAAAAAAUGGACUUUUUUCUCCUGCCAUGGGGGGGCGCUCUUUUGGGGAGUAAAAAUUCCUUCACAAAUGUGUUGAUGGCUGGACAUUGCAUCAUCCUAGAAAACUUGGAGGCCAGUGAGGACAAAAAUAAAAAGUUAUAAGACUUUUAAGAAUGUGGAUUUUUGGGUUAUCUUUGGCGCCCCCUAGAACCUAAACCGUGGGGUGCAGCGUCAUGAUUUGUACAACUUUUAAUGGCUAUGGGGUGUAGAUUGACCUGAGCAAAUUUGGUGCCGGUGGAACGAAAGCCUUCGGAGGAGUUAGCGAAAUUCCAGUGUGUGCGGAUCGGCAAAAAAUGCGAACUAGGGCCCCGGUGGGGCACUGUCGGGCCCGAGCCGCAUCGCGCCGCCCCCAGCGCGACCGCCUCCCCCUCCCGAUCGCGUCACACUCAAGGUCCGAAGAUGGUGUGCGCACUUGUCUGUGGUCAUUUCCCAUUAUAAUGAAUGGGAGGCGCAGUUUCUACCAAAACGGUGGCUGCAGACAAACUACAUGUCCUAUUUGAAAAAAGUCUGGACCAUGAGUGAGGGCUCAAACACAGCUAGGAUAUAUCCAAAUGGCAAGUUGCUCCUCCUUACGGUGUUGCCGGAAGAGCGAUGCGAUUGAGCCAUUGAGCGAUGGGCAGGGUUAACUUGACUUUUUCUCCUGCCUUGGGGGGGGGGGGGGGGAUGUGGAUUCUUUUAAGAAUGUGGAUAUUUGGGUCAUCUUUGGCGCCCCCUAGAACCUAAACCGUGGGGUGCAGCGUCAUGAUUUGUACAACUUUUAAUGGCCAUGGGGUGUAGAUUGGCCUGAGCAAAUGUGGUGCCGGUGGAACGAAUGCCUUCGGAGGAGUUAGCAAAAUUCCAAUGUGUGCAGAUCUGCAAAAAAUGCGAAAUAACCCUCUAACCGUACAUUUCACAGAUGCGCCCGCGCUGACUUUUUUGUAGACCGUAUUGAGAUACACGUGUGUGUCAAUUUUUGUGUCAUUUUGACAAAGCGUAUAGGCGUGACAGUCAACAAUGUGUUUUUUCACCUUAGGGGACAAGAAAAAAUGGACUUUUUUCUCCUGCCAUGGGGGGGCGCUCUUUUCGGGAGUAAAAAUUCCUUUACAAAUGUGUUGAUGGCUGGACAUUGCAUCAUCCUAGAAAACUUGGAGGCCAGUGAGGACAAAAAUAAAAAGUUAUAAGACUAUUAAGAAUGUGGAUUUUUGGGUUAUCUUUGGCGCCCCCUAGAACCUAAACCGUGGAGUGCAGCGUCAUGAUUUGUACAACUUUUAAUGGCCAUGGGGGUUAGAUUGGCCUGAGCAAAUUUGGUGCCGGUGGAACGAAAGCCUUCGGAGGAGUUAGCGAAAUUCCAAUGUGUGCGGAUCGGCAAAAAAUGCGAAAUAGCCCUUUAAACGUACAUUUGACAGAUACGCCCGCACUGACUUUUUUGUAGAUCUUAUUGAGAUACACGUGUGUGUCAAAUUUUGUGUCACUAUGACAAAGCGUACAGGCGUGACAGUCAAUAGUGUGAAUUUUCGCCUUAGGGGGCGCUAUGGAGCCAUUUUGCAUUUUAUUGUUUGGGCGACUUCAGAAUAUCGAAUUUUUCACCAGGCCCGGUCGUCCUGCCAAAUUUCAUGAGUUUUCGCCAGUGGGAAGUGGGCCAUUUUCCCCUUCAAAGGGGAGGAAAAAUAAGAAGAAAGAAAGAAAGAACUAGGACCCCGUUGGGGCACUGGCGGGCCCAAGCUGUGUCACGUCCCCCCCCAACGCGCUGCCUCCCCGUCCCAUUUGUGUCCUCUGGCCAUCGCCCUCUUUGGUAACGCCCAUCACUGCAAAGACCCUUUUCCUUCAUCGGCGUUUGCUGUUCUUCCUGCCAGUGCGUGUUGCUUUCACUUACACUUGCCACAGCCAGCCUCGUGAGUGCCUAGCCUAUUGGAUAUCACUGUCACCUACACAGGACAGUCAUUACCUUUCUAUUAAUACUUUGCGUUUUAAUUUCACAUUAAUUUCCAAAUUGUAUAAACGACUGGAAAAAACUUGAGCCCCUGCCCCUGUAUAAUCAUGUGCACGUCUCUGUUCUAGCUCUAAGGUAAAUCUUCACUGCUCAUGUUCUCCUCAGAAGCAGUCACCUCACUCCCCUCAGGUUACUGUACACAUGCACCAACUGCCUGCUUCAGGUUUGGAUGGAGCUUCAUGGUUGUCUUUUGGAGAAAUGACCAGUCAAGUUGUGUUUGAAAUUUGAUUUUUUUCAGGGGCAAAAGGAGCCUCUGCAUUCUUGUCAAAUAUGUAAAUAGCAUGUUUUUGCAGGUGCUACAAACCAGACUCUGAGUGUGUGUGUGUGCGUGUGUGUGUGUGUCUGUGUGUGUGUGUGUGUGUGUGUGUGCGCGUUCAAGUCACAUGACAUAUUUAACCGGAUGUAGCUGCAAGACGGAGCCUCGUUGACUCUCCGUUUCAAUUUAUCUCAAAAGUGAGGACCUCAACCUAUAUACCAGUUUUUAAAUUGUGUUGAUAGGCCAAAUAAAACCAGAGUUAUGAUAAAUUAUGUCCGCGAUACUUGUUUUCUGCUUAUUUUGAUCACGUUCGGCGCUCGAUCGCGCUGUAUGAGACAGGAAAACAUAGCAUGCAGACAUUAGCGACAGGUCUUACAGGCGGAAAAGGCUUGCCAAAGGAAAAAAAAUACACACCACAACAUCUCUCCUAUUGGUGGAAAACUUCACCACAACAACCAAUCCAAAAUUAUAUGGUGACUGAUUGACAAGGGGCGGGCGCUUACGUUCUUCCUGCAAUAUGAGAAGGGAGGGAGGGACUCUCAGCAGGGAUGCAGUCUGGGACACGUAGUUGCAAACCUAGCGACUUUGUUGUAGAUUCAAUGACUUUUCAGACCCCCUAACGACUUUUUUUUUAGAAAGAAAGGGACUUUUAUCAACUUCUUCUGGAGUUUAGAAACUCUGACAUGAAGCAGGCUUUCCUUACUGAGGAGUUAGCAACGCUGCUAAGGGUGCAGAGACACACAUGAGCUCCGAGCUCUGCAUGGGAGACUGAAGCUGACAGAGCUGCAGCAGUUAGCAGGUUUCACCCUCAGAGACCACCAGGGGUUCAUGUUGAGGCAUUUUCAGUUUUUUUUUUUUUUUUUGCCAUAGACACUGUCAGCACAAUCUGCAGUUACACUAACAAAAAAGCUGCAAAAAACAAAGAAUUAUGGAAAAAUUACACAUGGACUGACAUAGAGGAGGAUCUACACAAGUUUUUUACAUCAUGUUUUACAUCAUGCAUCAUUUACAUCAUGUUUUUUUGUAGUGGCAUAAAUAAAAAGUGACAUUUGUGAGACUAUACAGUGUUUUGUAAAUAAUUUUACAAAGAACGCCUGGGCCAUUGCCUGCAUUUUGAUGUAAAUAGAGGUAAAUUACUAUGUUCUUUGUUAAAAAUUUGCAUAUGUUUUGAAGUUUACAAUUUUUAUUUGAAGUUUAAGUUUUAAAAACAGUUCAUCACACAUAUUUGUGGUUUUCACAGUAAAAAUGUUACUUUUUUCCACUCGGAUUUUAUGUUUUGUGUGUGAAUUUGGGUCCAUUGUGUAAAUACAGUAUGUCAAAAUGAUAAAAUAACUGUAAAUUCACACAGGUGAGGUUGUGCUGAAAAAAAUGAUACCAGGCAAGGCAAGGUAAAAAAAUUUUAAGAGGAAAUAUAAAGGUAAAAUCUAAAGUAGUCAAAAACGGCCAAUAGUGACUCACAGACUCCACAGACAAGUCCCUUUGGCGCCACUCAGUGGGCAAAACUACUUUGUCUGCUGUAAUGUAUAUUUGGGUCAUCUUUGGCGCCCCCUAAAACGUAAACCGUGGGGUGCAGCGUCAUGAUUUUUACAACUUUGAAUGGCCAUGGAGUGUAGAUUGGCCUGAGCAAAUUUGGUGUCAGUGGGACGAAAGCCUUAGGAGGAGUUAGCGAAAUUCCAAUGUGUGCGAAUCGGCAAAAAAUGCAAAAUAGCCCUUUUACCGUACAUUAUACAGAUACGCGCUCUUUGACUUUUUCGUAGAUCUAAUUGAGAUACACAUGAUUGUCAAUUUUUGUGUCAUUUUGCCAAAGCGUACAGGCGUGACAGUCAACAAUGUGUAUUUUCACCUUAGGGGACAAGAAAAAAUGGACUUUUUUCUCCUGCCAUGGGGGGGCGCUCUUUUAGGGAGUAAAAAUUCCUUCACAAAUGUGUUGAUGGCUGGACAUUGCAUCAUCCUAGAAAACUUGGAGGCCAGUGAGGACAAAAAUAAAAAGUUAUAAGACUUUUAAAAAUGUGGAUUUUUGGGUUAUAUUUGGCGCCCCCUAGAACGUAAACCGUGGGGUGCAGCGUCAUGAUUUGAAUAACUUUUAAUGGCCAUGGGGUGUAGAUUGGCCUGAGCAAAUGUGGUGCCGGUGGAACGAAAGCCUUCGGAGGAGUUAGCGAAAUUCCAAUGUGUGCGGAUCGGCAAAAAAUGCGAAAUAACCCUUUAACCGUACAUUAGACAGAUACGCGCGCAUGGACUUUUUUGUAGAUCUUAUUGAGAUACAUGUGUGUGUCAAUUUUUGUGUCAUUUUGACAAAGCGUACAGGCGUGACAGUCAAUAGUGUGAAUUUUCACCUUAGGGGACAAGAAAAAAUGGACUUUUUUCUCCUGCCAUGGGGGGGCGCUCUUUUGGGGAGUAAAAAUUCCUUCACAAAUGUGUUGAUGGCUGGACAUUGCAUCAUCCUAGAAAACUUGGAGGCCAGUGAGGGCAAAAAUAAAAAGUUAUAAGACUUUUAAAUAUGUGGAUUUUAGGGUUAUCUUUGGCGCCCCCUAGAACCUAAACCGUGGGGUGCAGCGUCAUGAUUUGAAUAACUUUUAAUGGCCAUGGGGUGUAGAUUGGCCUGAGCAAAUGUGGUGCCGGUGGAACGAAAGCCUUCGGAGGAGUUAGCGAAAUUCCAAUGUGUGCGGAUCGGCAAAAAAUGCGAAAUAACCCUUUAACCGUACAUUUGACAGAUACGCCUGCACUGACUUUUUUGUAGAUCUUAUUGAGAUACAUGUGUGUGUCAAUUUUUGUGUCAUUUUGACAAAGCGUACAGGCGUGACAGUCAAUAGUGUGAAUUUUCACCUUAGGGGGCGCUAUGGAGCCAUUUUGCAUUUUCUUGUUUGGGCAACUUCGGAAUAUCAAAUUUUUCACCAGGCCCGGUCGUCCUGCCAAAUUUCAUGAGUUUUCGCCAGUGGGAAGUGGGCCAUUUUCCAGUUCAAAGGGGAGGAAAAAUAAUAACUAGGACCCCGUUGGGGCACUGGCGGGCCCGAGCCGUGUCGCGUCCCCCCCCCCACGUGCUGCCUCCCCGUCCCAUUUGUGUCCUCUGGCCAUCGCCCUCUCUGGUAACGCCCAUCACUGCAAAGACCCUUUUCCUUCAUCGGCGUUUGCUGUUCUUCCUGCCAGUGCGUGUUGCUUUCACUUACACUUGCCACAGCCAGCCUCGUGAGUGCCUAGCCUAUUGGAUAUCACUGUCACCUACACAGGACAGUCAUUACCUUUCUAUUAAUACUUUGUGAUUUAAUUUCACAUUAAUUUCCAUAUUGUAUAAACGACUGGAAAAAACUUGAGCCCCUGCCCCUGUAUAAUCAUGUGCAUGUCUCUGUUCUAGCUCCAAGGUGAAUCUUCACUGCUCAUGUUCUCCUCAGAAGCAGUCACCUCACUCCCCUCAGGUUACUGUACACAUGCACCAACUGCCUGCUUCAGGUUUGGAUGGAGCUUCAUGGUUGUCUUUUGGAGAAAUGAACAGUCAAGUUGUGUUUGAAAUUUGAUUUUUUUCAGGGGCAAAAGGAGCCUCUGCAUUCUUGUCAAAUAUGUAAAUAGCAUGUUUUUGCAGGUGCUAAAAACCAGACUCUGAGUGUGUGUGUGUGUGUGUGUGUGUGCGUGUGUGUGUGUCUGUGUGUGCGUUCAAGUCACAUGACAUAUUUAACCGGAUGUAGCUGCAAGACGGAGCCUCGUUGACUCUCCGUUUCAACUUAUCUCAAAAGUGAGGACCUCAACCUAUAUACCAGUUUUUAAAUUGUGUUGAUAGGCCAAAUAAAACCAGAGUUAUGAUAAAUUAUGUCCGCGAUACUUUUUUUCUGCUUAUUUUGAUCACGUUCGGCGCUCGAUCGCGCUGUAUGAGACAGGAAAACAUAGCAUGCAGACAUUAGCGACAGGUCUUACAGGCGGAAAAGGCUUGCCAAAAGAAAAAAAAAACACACCACAACAUCUCUCCUAUUGGUGGAAAACUUCACCACAACAACCAAUCCAAAAUUAUAUGGUGACUGAUUGACAAGGGGCGGGCGCUUACGUUCUUCCUGCAACAUGAGAAGGGAGGGAGGGACUCUCAGCAGGGAUGCAGUCUGGGACACGUAGUUGCAAACCUAGCGACUUUGUUGUUAGAUUCAAUGACUUUUCAGACCCCCUAACGACUUUUUUUUAGGAAGAAAGGGACUUUUAUCCACUUCUUCUGGAGUUUAGAGACUCUGACAUGAAGCAGGCUUUCCUUACUGAGGAGUUAGCAACGCUGCUAAGGGUGCAGAGCCACACAUGCGCUCAGAGCUCUGCAUGGGAGACUGAAGCUGACAGAGCUGCAGCAGUUAGCAGGUUUCACCCUCAGAGACCACCAGGGGUUCACGUUGAGGCAUUUUAAAUUUUUUUUUUUUUUUGUGCCAUAGACACUGUCAGCACAAUCUGCAGUUACACUAACAAAAAUGCUGCAAAAAACAAAGAAUUAUGGAAAAAUUACACAUGGACUGACAUAGAGGAGGAUCUACACAAGUAUUUUACAUCAUGUUUUACAUCAUGCAUCAUUUACAUCAUGUUUUUUUGUAGUGGCAUAAAUAAAAAGUGACAUUUGUGAGACUAUACAGUGUUUUGUAAAUAAUUUUACAAAGAACGCCUGGGCCAUUGCCUGCAUUUUGAUGUAAAUAGAGGUAAAUCACUGUUCUUUGUUAAAAAUUUGCAUAUGUUUUGAAGUUUACAAUUUUUAUUUGAAGUUUAAGUUUUAAAAACAGUUCAUCACACAUAUUUGUGGUUUUCACAGUAAAAAUGUUACUUUUUUCCACUCGGAUUUUAUGUUUUGUGUGUGAAUUUGGGUCCAUUGUGUAAAUUCAGUAUGUCAACAUGAUAAAAUAACUGUAAAUUCGCACAGGUGAGGUUGUGCUGAAAAAAAUGAUACCAGGCAAGGCACGUGAUUGUCAAAUUUUGUGUCAAUAUGACAAAGCGUAUAGGCGUGAAUCUCAACAAUAUGUAUUUUCACCUUAGGGGACAAGAAAAAAUGGACUUUUUUCUCCUGCCAUGGGGGGGCGCUCUUUUGGGGAGUAAAAAUUCCUUCACAAAUGUGUUGAUGGCUGGACAUUGCAUCAUCCUAGAAAACUUGGAGGCCAGUGAGGACAAAAAUAAAAAGUUAUAAGACUUUUAAAUAUGUGGAUUUUAGGGUUAUCUUUGGCGCCCCCUAGAACCUAAACCGUGGGGUGCAGCGUCAUGAUUUGAAUAACUUUUAAUGGCCAUGGGGUGUAGAUUGGCCUGAGCAAAUGUGGUGCCGGUGGAACGAAAGCCUUAGGAGGAGUUAGCCACAUUCCAAUGUGUGCGGAUCGGCAAAAAAUGCGGAAUAACCCUUUAACCGUACAUUUGACAGAUACGCGCGCAUUGACUUUUUUGUAGAUCUUAUUGAGAUACAUGUGUGUGUCAAUUUUUGUGUCAUUUUGACAAAGCGUAUAGGCGUGACACUCAACAAUGUGUAUUUUCACCUUAGGGGACAAGAAAAAAUGGACUUUUUUCUCCUGCCAUGGGGGGGCGCUCUUUUAGGGAGUAAAAAUUCCUUCACAAAUGUGUUGAUGGCUGGACAUUGCAUCAUCCUAGAAAACUUGGAGGCCAGUGAGGACAAAAAUAAAAAGUUAUAAGACUUUUAAAUAUGUGGAUUUUAGUGUUAUCUUUGGCGCCCCAUAGAACGUAAACCGUGGGGUGCAGCGUCAUGAUUUUGAUAACUUUUAAUGGCCACGGGGUGUAGAUUGGCCUGAGCAAAUGUGGUGCCGGUGGAACGAAAGUCUUCGGAGGAGUUAGCGAAAUUCCAAUGUGUGCGGAUCGGCAAAAAAUGCGAAAUAACCCUUUAACCGUAAUUUUGACAGAUACGGCCGCACUGACUUUUUUGUAGAUCUUAUUGAGAUACAUAUGUGUGUCAAUUUUUGUGUCAAUAUGACAAAGCGUACAGGCGUGACAGUCAAUAGUGUGAAUUUCCACCUUAGGGGGCGCUAUGGAGCCAUUUUGCAUUUUAUUGUUUGGGCGACUUCAGAAUAUCGAAUUUUUCACCAGGCCCGGUCGUCCUGCCAAAUUUCAUGAGUUUUCGCCAGUGGGAAGUGGGCCAUUUUCCAGUUCAAAGGGGAGGAAAAAGAAAAAAGAAAGAAAGAAACAAAGAAAAACCACUUGGGGAAUAAUAGGGCCUACGCCCGGCUGCUCUGCAGCUGGCUCGGGCCCUAAUAAUAAUAACAAAAGAAGGAAACAUGCAGGAACAAGAGGGCUCUCGCAGCUGCUUAGCAGCUACGCUCGGGCCCUAACUAGGGCCCCGUUGGGGCACUGGCGGGCCAGAGCCGCGUCGCGCCGCCCCCAGCGCGACCGCCUCCCCGUCCCAUUCGUGCCCUCUGGCCAUCGCCCUCUCUGGUGACGCCCAUCACUGCAAAGACCCUUUUCCUUCAUCGGUGUUUGCUGUUCUUCCUGCCAUUGCGUGUUGCUUUCACUUACACUUGCCACAGCCAGCCUCGUGAGUGCCUGGCCUGGUUUGACCUUUGCUCACCAUGAUUGUGUGACCUUGGUAUCAGCUACUUGGGAAGUUCAACCGUUGUGGCAAAGCUUUGUUUGCGGCCGGAUGUAGCUGCAAGACGGAGCCUCGUUGACAUUCCGUUUCAACUUAUCUCCAAAGUGAGGACCUUAAACUAUAUACCAGUUUUUAAAUUGUGUUGAUAGGCCAAAUAAAACCAGAGUUAUGAUAAAUUAUGUCUGCGAUACUUUUUUUCUGCUUAUUUUGAUCACGUUCGGCGCUCGAUCGCGCUGUAUGAGACAGGAAAACAUAGCAUGCAGACAUUAGCGACAGCUCUUACAGGCGGAAAAGGCUUGCCAAAAGAAAAAAAAAAACACACCACAACAUCUCCUAUUGGUGUAAAACUUCACCACAACAACCAAUCCAAAAUUAUAUGGUGACUGAUUGACAAGGGGCGGGCGCUUACGUUCUUCCUGCAACAUGAGAAGGGAUGGAGGGACUCUCAGCAGGGAUGCAGUCUGGGACACGUAGUUGCAAACCUAGCGACUUUGUUGUUAGAUUAAAUGACUUUUCAGACCCCCUAACGACUUUUUUUUUGAAAGAAAGGGACUUUUAUCGACUUCUUCUGGAGUUCUGGAGUUUAGAGACUCUGACAUGAAGCAGGCUUUCCUUACUGAGGAGUUAGCAACGCUGCUAAGGGUGCAGAGCCACACAUGCGCUCUGAGCUCUGCAGGUGAGACUGAAGCUGACAGAGCUGCAGCAGUUAGCAGGUUUCACCCUCAGAGACCACCAGGGGUUCAUGUUGAGGCAUUUUCAGUUUGUUUUAUUGUUUUUGUGCCAUAGACACUGUCAGCACAAUCUGCAGUUACACUAACAAAAAUGCUGGACAAAACAAAGAAUUAUGGAAAAAUUACACAUGGACUAACAUAGAGGAGGAUCUACACAAGUUUUUUACAUCAUGUUUUACAUCAUGCAUCAUUUACAUCAUGUUUUUUUUGUAGUGGCAUGAAUAAAAAGUGACAUUUGUGAGACUAUACAGUGUUUUGUAAAUAAUUUUACAAAGAACGCCUGGGCCAUUGCCUGCAUUUUGAUGUAAAUAGAGGUAAAUUACUAUGUUCUUUGUUAAAAAUUUGCAUAUGUUUUGAAGUUUAAAAUUUUUAUUUGAUGUUUAAGUUUUAAAAACAGUUCAUCACACAUAUUUGUGGUUUUCAGAGUAAAAAUGUUACUUUUUUCCACUCGGAUAUUAUGUUUUGUGUGUGAAUUUGGGUCCAUUGUGUAAAAACAGUAUGUGAAAAUGAUAAAAUAACUGUAAAGUCACACAGGUGAGGUUGUGCUGAAAAAAAUGAUACCAGGCAAGGCAAGGUAAAAAAAUUUUAAGAGGAAAUAUAAAGGGUAAAAUCUAAAGUAGUCAAAAACGGCCAAUAGUGACUCCCAGUCUCCAUAGACAAGUCCCUUUGGCGCCACUCAGUGGGCAAAACUACUUUGUCUGCUGUAAUGUAUAUUUGGGUCAUCUUUGGCGCCCCCUAGAACGUAAACCGUGGGGUGCAGCGUCAUGAUUUUUACAACUUUGAAUGGCCAUGGGGUGUAGAUUGGCCUGAGCAAAUUUGGUGUCAGUGGGACGAAAGCCUUAGGAGGAGUUAGCCACAUUCCAAUGUGUGCGAAUCGGCAAAAAAUGCAAAAUAGCCCUUUUACCGUACAUUAUACACAUACGCGCUCUUUGACUUUUUCAUAGAUGUUAUUGAGAUACACGUGAUUGUCAAAUUUUGUGUCAAUCUGACAAAGCGUUCAGGCAUGACACUCAACAAUGUGUGUUUUCACCUUAGGGGACAAGAAAAAAUGGACUUUUUUCUCCUGCCAUGGGGGGGCGCUCUUUUGGGGAGUAAAAAUUCCUUCACAAAUGUGUUGAUGGCUGGACAUUGCAUCAUCCUAGAAAACUUGGAGGCCAGUGAGGACAAAAAUAAAAAGUUAUAAGACUUUUAAGAAUGUGGAUUUUUGGGUUAUCUUUGGCGCCCCCUAGAACCUAAACCGUGGGGUGCAGCGUCAUGAUUUGUACAACUUUUAAUGGCCAUGGGGUGUA